rnacentral:tRNA from 1 species
GUCGGGGUCGUAUAAUGGUUAGUACGUAUCGUUGUGGGCAGAGAGCGGCGCCGCCGAUGAAAUGGCGGUUCGAUUCCGCCCCUCGACA